rnacentral:rRNA from 1 species
AUUGAACGCUGGCGGCAGGCUUAACACAUGCAAGUCGAGCGGGGUGAUGGUGCUUGCACUAUCACUUAGCGGCGGACGGGUGAGUAAUGCUUAGGAAUCUGCCUAUUAGUGGGGGACAACAUCUCGAAAGGGAUGCUAAUACCGCAUACGUCCUACGGGAGAAAGCAGGGGAUUACUUGUGACCUUGCGCUAAUAGAUGAGCCUGAGUCGGAUUAGCUAGUUGGUGGGGUAAAGGCCUACCAAGGCGACGAUCUGUAGCGGGUCUGAGAGGAUGAUCCGCCACACUGGGACUGAGACACGGCCCAGACUCCUACGGGAGGCAGCAGUGGGGAAUAUUGGACAAUGGGGGGAACCCUGAUCCAGCCAUGCCGCGUGUGUGAAGAAGGCCUUAUGGUUGUAAAGCACUUUAAGCGAGGAGGAGGCUCUUUUGGUUAAUACCCAAGAUGAGUGGACGUUACUCGCAGAAUAAGCACCGGCUAACUCUGUGCCAGCCGCCGCCGUAA